GCCGAGGUGGCGGAAUUGGCAGACGCGCUGGACUUAGAAUCCAGUGGGGUUCCCGUGCGGGUUCAAGUCCCGCCCUCGGCA
rnacentral:tRNA from 1 species